rnacentral:lncRNA from 1 species
AUGCCGGAAUCACCGUUUGACAGUAUGCCAGCGCCUAUACUAGGGGAGAGUAAAGGUAAGUUAGGCAUUGCAUUAAGGGCUACAGCAUUGGCUUAUAGAACUAUUUUGACAAAUUGUGGCACGGCCGACCAACCAGGGGUUACUCUGAGACAUCGGGGCAUGGAGUGUCCUGUGGAACUUAUGUGCUCCUGUUUUCCUCAAAGCAGCAUUCAGAGAUUGGAACUUCCGAGUGGCUAUAGUGCAAUUGAUUACCACCGUAUCAACCCAGGUUCAACCCUAGUGGCUGCUACCUACUUUUUAACGAGGUCGCAGAUUUUCAACACAAUGUGCUUUUUUUCCAAUAACCUCUUUUUAGUAUUCGUUAUUUUUUUUUCAUUUAAAUAAAACAGACGUAUAAAAAAAGUCUCAGAGCAACCUACGGUUUUGGUCGAUUUAACGCAAAAUUGUGUCGAGCAUUCAAGUCCCCGAUGUUGUUCGGACACAAAAAAGUAACACAAAGUAACACAGUGUAACAUUAAACAGGGAAAUUUAUCUGUGUAUGCUGCUUUCGUUUCUGUUCUUCUCUGCGCAUCCUCAAAGGAAUGCUCGGUUAUUAGAACUUGUUCUCACGAGUAGGUUCGCGAAACUUCGGGCAAAUUAGUUCCAGGAAAGUCAGCUAUAACUUAUUCCUCCAACUCCCCAGUUCUCGGGAUUAAUUCGUCCGAACUGCAUUCAAGUAGACCUGCCCUUGAAGUUUUCGGCUAGACAGUUUUUCAAACAAAGGAUGACUUGUUAAAGUAUUUAAAGGAAACUAUGAAAAUUAUGUUCAGAUACCUACUUUUUUUGCGAGUUGGAGGAACAGCAACGUUGUGAUACAUUAAAGCAAUCAAAGCAUUUUUUGGAAAACUAACAGUGUAGCGGUAAAAAUUAGCGAUAGUUAACUUCAUCGGCACGAUAUACAUAUAAAAUCAAGGUGUAACUGAAAUAAAGAAAAUGUCCUCAGCCCUCAGAUAUUAUCGCUCAUGCAACGAACACUGGACGAAUUCCACUAUAACCAGUGGAUGCAACUAUUCGGCCUCAACGGAUGUCCUCGUUGCAUAAUCGCCGAAGGGAAGGCGUUUUACCUGGCCAGGCACUGCUUCACGUACAACGCUGUGCGAGACGAGACGGCAAAUUGUACAGUUGUACUGACUUAUCCGAUUCAAAAUGACGUAGCUCCUUCAAUUCUUCGUUCAUACCACAAAGACAUCUCUUGGGCACGACCAUAUUCGUGAUUACACACAAGCGUAGGACGUGUAGAUGUAAGAUCGGUAAGAUGCGUAGGAUGUACGAUUUGUAGAAGAAAAACCACAACAAAUUAUUACUAGAAAGAAAAACACCUUUAAAUAAACAUAAACUGAAAACAAAGAAACUAAAUUUUAAAUUGAAACACCAUACUAACUAACUGCUAAUCAUUUAAUUAAACUCUAAGAGGAGGAAAUCCAGCUUUUCUGCAGUGAGUAGAUUUUUGUAUGAGCCAUGAUUAGCACAUGCUUUUAUGCGUCUUGAAAUUCAUACUAGCAUGCACUUACUGCUCUCUUCACUAUCACGGCCGAAUUAUCAACCCGUACAUAAAUAUUAUUAAUUUUUUAAAUAUGUUGACUUACGCCAGUUUUAGUUGAGUAAUAUAGAAAAUAUUAGAUUCCUUAAAUAAGCUAUCAUUAUAAAAGUGUAAAGACCUAACCAAUGAAACAAGUAAAAAAAUAUGAAAACGCCAAAAGGUAAUCUGUACAACACUCAAAAAUAUUAAUUAUGGGAAAAUAACCUAUUAUUUUUUGUAGUACCUAUAUACAAUCAUCUAAACCCAUAUGCCUAGUCAAAACUGAGAUCCAACUGUUAUAUAAGUGUUAAGAUCUAAUUAUUCGUACCUAAAAUAUCACCGGUGUAAGUCUGCGACCACGUAUUUGCGACGUUGCAGGCUUCCUGUCAUAUUUUAUUUUUGAAAUGGAAAACUACUUAACGGCAACUCUUAAAAACAGCGGUAAUUUUUAUUUUCUCUGUGCGAAGAAGAUUCUGCGAAAGCUUCGCGGAAUAAUUUUGAUUUUUUUUCUCCUUUAAAAAAAUAAAAUAAGUGCGGAGAUUGUCAAACUCCGCAAGCGAUCUACGUGAUUGCGGACCUACAUCGUCGAUGUGCGUAUUUGUAGUAGAAACGAAGAAUCAACCGCGCUCUGUCCUUUAAAUCCGUAGUACUGUCCGCCGCACAGUGGAUCCAGUCAAUUAGAGAGGUCGCUCAUGAAAUUUUUGACUAUAAUUGAAAAUUUUGAUGUUUAUUUCGUCACAUUUUCAAUUUUAAGGGGUGCUUCUGGAUGUAAAUUUUAUGAAAAAACCAAUGGAACCACUUUUAGAACCUCAAAUUUUUGUAUAAACGGGGUUAUGAGUGCUUAAAGUUUUCAAAUUUUGUCCGACCUCUCCUAUUGAUUCGAUCCAUUGUGCGCCGAUGCGCCACACCGACGCGGCUGCGAGUAAAACGGUGAUAAAACGCCUUCCCUUCGGCGUGUAUGCAACACGGGCAUCUCUGAGGGUCGAAUAGUUGCAUCUAGGCGUUAUAAUGGAAUUCGCUCAGUCUUCUUCGCAUACAAUACUAACUGCGGGCUGAGGGCACUUUCUUUGUUUCUCUUGCUCCUCAAUUUAAUUCCAGCAUUGCUUCUUGUGCCGAUAAAGUGAACAUCAUAAUAUUUACCGCCAUACUGAUACAAUCACUUAUACAAUUCAAUUACUAAUACAUACCGCGACAUUUCUAGUUUUCUGAUAAAUGCCUCCAUCGUUUAAAUACAUCAAAAAUAUGUCGGUGAAUUUAGUCCAGCGAUUAAAUCGGCAAAAAUACUUGUUCUGCGUCUCAUUUUAAUACUUCUAUGAGCGAUGACUUUAAAAUAAAAAGGGUAAAUAUCAGUGCUAAUAAAGGGGGAACAUUGAAUCAAAACUAAUAUUGAAGAGAAGCGUUGCCGAAUUUUUCAGAACAGAAACUCUGUUUCAGUUUUGAAAAUACAGUUAUGAAAAUACAGUUAUGAAAAUACACGUAAAGAUAUAUUUACGUGUGCGUCAUAAAAAUAGGAUCAACGCGUUGCCAUGCUGUACAAAAUCAUGAUGAACUCAACAUUGGUUUCGUAUGAUAUUCAGCAGGUUUUGAAUUUAAUAUCCGUAUGAUACCAGUGUAGUUCUAUAUAAAUUCAGCCAAAAUAAAAUAACAAGGCAUUUUAAUAACAUAAAAACAGUGUAAAUUGAUAUUUCUCCACUUUCUAGGGAUCACUACACACGACACAGCCACAUUGUUAAGAGGGUGAAAAUUAGCAUUGCUACCGUAAAAAAAGAAAAAAAAACACGAUGAAAAAAUAAAAUCACUUGACGAAAUACAAGUUUCUAUAAUUACUGGUCAGGUUAUUGUUCGAUACGCUUCAUUCAAAAUUAUAUUUAGCCGUUUCUUCAUGUUAAAAAUACGGGCUGAAAU